rnacentral:rRNA from 1 species
CUUGCUCCAUGAUUCAGCGGCGGACGGGUGAGUAAUGCCUAGGAAUCUGCCUGGUAGUGGGGGACAACGUUUCGAAAGGAACGCUAAUACCGCAUACGUCCUACGGGAGAAAGUGGGGGAUCUUCGGACCUCACGCUAUCAGAUGAGCCUAGGUCGGAUUAGCUAGUUGGUGAGGUAAAGGCUCACCAAGGCGACGAUCCGUAACUGGUCUGAGAGGAUGAUCAGUCACACUGGAACUGAGACACGGUCCAGACUCCUACGGGAGGCAGCAGUGGGGAAUAUUGGACAAUGGGCGAAAGCCUGAUCCAGCCAUGCCGCGUGUGUGAAGAAGGUCUUCGGAUUGUAAAGCACUUUAAGUUGGGAGGAAGGGCAGUAAGUUAAUACCUUGCUGUUUUGACGUUACCGACAGAAUAAGCACCGGCUAACUUCGUGCCAGCAGCCGCGGUAAUACGAAGGGUGCAAGCGUUAAUCGGAAUUACUGGGCGUAAAGCGCGCG